UGGGUAACCUGCCUCAAAGAGGGGAAUAGCCUCCCGAAAGGGAGAUUAAUACCGCAUAAUAUGUUUUAGUCGCAUGACUUAAACAUCAAAGGAUUUUCUUUAGAAAUUCCACUUUGAGAUGGACCCGCGGCGCAUUAGCUAGUUGGUGAGGUAACGGCUCACCAAGGCAACGNUGCGUAGCCGACCUGAGAGGGUNAUCGGCCACAUUGGAACUGAGACACGGUCCAGCUCCGUAGG
rnacentral:rRNA from 1 species